rnacentral:rRNA from 1 species
UCUCCUACGGGACGCAGCAGUGGGGGAUAUUGCACAAUGGGGGCAACCCUGAUGCAGCGACGCCGCGUGAGCGAUGGAGUACUUCGGUAUGUAAAGCUCUGUCAGCAGGGAAGAGAAUGACGGUACCUGACCAAGAAGCCCCGGCUAAAUACGUGCCAGCAGCCGCGGUAAUACGUAUGGGGCAAGCGUUAUCCGGAUUUACUGGGUGUAUAGGGAGCGUAGGCGGCAGGGCAAGCCUGAUGUGAAAGCCCGGGGCUCAACCCCGGGACUGCGUUGCGAACGGCCCCGCUCGAGUUGCGGAGGGG